rnacentral:rRNA from 1 species
UACGAAGGGGGCUAGCGUUGCUCGGAAUCACUGGGCGUAAAGCGCACGUAGGCGGCUUCUUAAGUCAGGGGUGAAAUCCUGGAGCUCAACUCCAGAACUGCCUUUGAUACUGAGAAGCUUGAGUCCGGGAGAGGUGAGUGGAACUGCGAGUGUAGAGGUGAAAUUCGUAGAUAUUCGCAAGAACACCAGUGGCGAAGGCGGCUCACUGGCCCGGUACUGACGCUGAGGAGCGAAAGCGUGGGUAGCGAACAGG